UACGUAGGGUCCGAGCGUUGUCCGGAAUUAUUGGGCGUAAAGAGCUCGUAGGCGGUUUGUCGCGUCUGCCGUGAAAGUCCGGGGCUCAACUCCGGAUCUGCGGUGGGUACGGGCAGACUAGAGUGAUGUAGGGGAGACUGGAAUUCCUGGUGUAGCGGUGAAAUGCGCAGAUAUCAGGAGGAACACCGAUGGCGAAGGCGGGUCUCUGGGCCGAUACUGACGCUGAGGAGCGAAAGCGUGGGGAGCGAACAGG
rnacentral:rRNA from 1 species